UGUUUGUUAUAUGUUUUUGUCGGAGUUUAUGUUAAUUUGUGCACGGUCACGGUAAUUGAGCUCGUUGUAUUUUCGCAAAAUUAAGUAACCGUCCAAUAGGAAUAACUGAGAUGAAACGUGCAGCCACGAUGAAUACAUAACAAACCUACAAGGUGAUUGAACCUACAGGUGAAUAUAACAAUUAACAAAAAAUUGUUAAAUAAUAAACAAAGGAUUUGUGCACGGUGAAGUACAGUUCAACAUCAAACAAAGGUCUUCUAUUUUGUUGCUUCGAAGUUUGCCGGGAUUCCAGACCAUCGUAUCAUAAUAGA